GAUGAACGCUGGCGGCGUGCCUAAUACAUGCAAGUCGAGCGAACGGACGAGAAGCUUGCUUCUCUGAUGUUAGCGGCGGACGGGUGAGUAACACGUGGAUAACCUACCUAUAAGACUGGGAUAACUUCGGGAAACCGGAGCUAAUACCGGAUAAUAUUUUGAACCGCAUGGUUCAAAAGUGAAAGACGGUCUUGCUGUCACUUAUAGAUGGAUCCGCGCUGCAUUAGCUAGUUGGUAAGGUAACGGCUUACCAAGGCAACGAUGCAUAGCCGACCUGAGAGGUGAUUGGCCACACUGGAACUGAGACACGGUCCCGACUCCUAAGGGAGGCAGCAGUAGGGAAUCUUCCGGAAUGGGGCGAAGCCUGACGGAGCAACGCCGCGGGAGUGAUGAAGGUCUUCGGAUCGUAAAACUCUGUUAUUAGGGAAGAACAUAUGUGGAAGUAACUGUGCCCAUCUUGACGGUACCUAAUCAGAAAGCCACGGCUAACUACGUG
rnacentral:rRNA from 1 species